rnacentral:rRNA from 1 species
UACGGAGGGUGCAAGCGUUAUCCGGAUUCACUGGGUUUAAAGGGUGCGUAGGCGGGCAGGUAAGUCCGUGGUGAAAUCCCCGAGCUUAACUCGGGAACUGCCAUGGAUACUAUUUAUCUUGAAUGUCGUGGAGGUUAGCAGAAUAUGUCAUGUAGCGGUGAAAUGCUUAGAGAUGACAUAGAAUACCCAUUGCGAAGGCAGCUAACUACGCGAUAAUUGACGCUCAUGCACGAAAGCGUGGGGAUCAAACAGG